AGCACGCGUCUCUGUUGGUCUCUGCUCAUACAACAUGGUUAAGAGGAGACUUCGUAUGUCCUCUUGUUAUAUACAUAUAUGCUGAGAAAGAGCAUGAAAGAAAGGAGAAGCAAAGGAAGGUACAUAUGCACGGUACGAGAGAGCGAAGGAACAAGACUAUCGGCAAUGUGGCACAUGCCGAGGCACACGCGAUCCUUCAGGCCAUACCAACAGUUGAGAUUUACAUGGCAGAGAUCUAGAAGUAUCAAGGGAACAUCCAUCCUGGAAUAUUAUCCUGGACUUUUUGGUAUUUCCUGUGCUAGAUACGAAUCUGUGAUAUAUGGCAUCAAGGACGCAUUAGAAAAUCAUUUUACUGUCUUGCGGAUUGCUGUAACAGGUCGUGAAAUACUAGAGCGGCACAAGACAAGCCCGUAAAGUAAUUCUUAUAGAUAAGAAAUCUCCGUAUACACGUAUUCGUAAGAGCGCCUGCGUGGACAACUCUGGCUAAUAGGGAAAAAAUGUCAGGCUCAGGCCUAUGUCGAAGUAUGCUUCGCACAUUCAGUUGCAUAUGGAUAGGAUCUAGCCAGCUGCGGCCUUCUCCGACCUUCUCCCCACUAUUCUGAACAACAGGCCGAGCACUCUGGUCGGCAACUUUAGAUAUGACAACCGGUAACGCCACUCUGAGUGCCUGUACCUUCGUUCCAGUUCGAAAGGAUCCGCUGUCAUUUUCCAAAAUUCUAGAAACAAAGACUAUUGUCUUAAUACAUGCGGUUUUCUGAAUGAGGAGUUCACUAAUGUUUGUCAUGGCGCAGAGUUGAAACAUGGAGCAACAUUCCUAAAUGCAUGGUGCAUAAUUGGGGCAUAACAUUUAUUUUUAUACCAAGGACAUGACGAGAUUUUAUACAAGUGGUAUCACUGAUUCCCAAUUUCUUAUGUAUAUUCAAAUACAUAUAUGCAUAUACAGCUAGUAGGUACCUGUACUGACGCUCCUUCACGGCGGAAUGUUUUCUACGCGAAUGUAAAAGUGCCCGGCUUGAUUCGAGGUACCGCAAAUGGCUAAGUUAAUGCGCAGCAGCAGGAACACUGUAAGUUGAUUCGCACAAUUCUCAUCUUGAAUUGUAAAUCAAUUGCUCAAAGAAUCCCCAGCUUAAUCACUAUGCUGAUCAAGCGAGGAUCAUUGCAGUAUCAUAAAUACAACACACUCUCAAGAGAUCAUUCAUCUAUUGCUUAGAAAAUCGCAGAUCAAUUUCAGACCCAGAGGCCUAGAAUUUGAUGACCUCGUUUGAUCACGUCUUCUUACCCGAUACCAAAUUGCUUCUUUUCUGCGAUGCGGGUAAAAAGAAGGCGAAAAAUAUGGCAGUGAAUGAACAGAGAGGACCAUAUAAAAUUGUUUCAGGAAGAUUUCUUCUACUUUGAUUGCAAUAUGUGAAGUCGUGGAGAUAUCCAGUGCUACGUAUAAGUAAAAAGCAGAUACUUCUAGGUUCUAAUAUAACUGAUAUAUCUUUGGACUCCUAAAGAAGAAGUCGAACGCAGAUGAGCCAGAUGGACGCAAAAUGCUGACUGGAUACUGUUGGAAGCUAACAAAGAAAGAUUUUUGGACCAGCCCCGAUGCCGUGCACCUGGAAAGAUGGGAGGGACCCAAAAUUCUGAGGAUAUAGGAGCGACGAAACACCGAGAAAUAAUAUUGGGAACGUUGCAGCUGUCACGGCAGCUGCAGCCCUCUCAGUCCCUCAGAAUCUGACCAGCAGUUUUCAUUUUUUUUUUAUCAUCAUCAGGGUAUCUUCUAACACCCACUAGCAAGCAAGUAUAUCUCAUACCUAACUAGUCACGUACCACACAAAUUAUAAACUAAGAUAAAUUCAAAUCGUUACAGUUAUAAACAUUUAUUUCGAAAAUGUCUCACUGCCUUAACAGUCAUUCCUCAUUAUGAGUUUACUUAGGCUAUUUCAGAACAUGGUCAAAGUCCGUUUCAACAAUUCUUGACCAAAAGGACUUUGAAAGCAUGAAAAUAAGAGAAAGUUAGCAAGUAUUCUAUCUAGAUAAGUAUUUAUAUCCACAUAAACCAAAGUGACUAGCUGCUGGUUCUUUAUUCCCAUUUCAGGUCGACCAACACAUCCCCAAAGUAUCAGCAACCCUUAAAGGAAGGAAUGUAGGUAGUAUACUGUAUGUAUGACGAUCAGCUGCCCCUCAUGGGUAAAACUAAACUUCCUGUGCCACGCGCACAUCUGCUCGCUCUAUACCCUGCACGAUGGACGCUAUUCGUUCCACGUUCUAUGCACGAGCACGGACCAUCGACACUUUUAAUUAAGCCGGACCACUCAGCCCACAUUUCGUUUACCAAACGGAAGUACUUACUCAUUCCUAGAAAACAUUAUGUCUGUCUACUCUAUGGGCACUGUAUUCUCUAGGUACACAUUGUAGGACACGCUUAAUUCCCCUGCUCUACGCCCUGACAACACUUGGAACGAAUAAUCCUUAGAAAACUCUAUCCUCCAUGAGUUUCACUUAUAUUUCCCAUGAAAAUGUGAACGUCCUGGGCUACCCUAGAAUACACCAGGAAGAAGAGACUGCCAGCGAGUGUCUUCUACGUGAGACUGAAAACGUGCAGGAACCUACUACGUUCAGUAGUACAUAGAUGUAUAGCUGUAGAGGAAGGUCCGUAUCGCAAAACAGCCAAGUGAAAGGAUCUCCAGGAGUUCAUCUUGCGUCUACAAUCUCUCAGCGCACGAGGACUCCGUGCACUCGGAUACGUUAAAUUCCUCACCUGCAUUCGGAGUUUUCGCGAGAGCUCGCUGGUGAAAUGCAAAACGGAGGAUUCUCUUUGCAUCAUUCGCAACGUCCCGCAAUAAAUUCAUAACAGUAAUUCGCAACGCAUAACCGGAGAGCACGACAGAAGAGGAAAGAAGAACAUCUAUUUGUUCCACUGCAUAAGAAAUUGCAAUGAAAAAUAAAGUCAGGGCAGCUGACACAAGAGGACGUUUCGGUUAGAAGUCAAUAUUCAACUUGCUCCUGGACUCUUUCGUCAUGCUAUUUCAAACCGUACAGUUGUACACGAUAAACAGAGGAGUACAAUGUAUAAUAUAGGUAUACAGUAUAUGGAUACCAUUGAAUUUGAUGAGGAAUACCGAUGACAUACGUAUGUGCACCAAUACGCUGAUUUCGCAAUAAGAAGCACUUAUGUAUACCAGGGUAACUAGGUAUUCCAAAGUGCUGCAGCUGUCACGGCAGCUGCGUUCGCCAAGCACGCUUCCUUCGCUCGUCGAUCGUUCUCGACAAUCAUUUUAUUCACCACGCGUUACCACACGCUACCAGAACUUGACAGCUCCAUCGCUUCACGAGGAUGAAGCGACACAUCGUGACAGAGAAAGUAUUCAAUGAAAAACAUUGCAUAAGAUUACCAACUGUGCAGAACUGUAUGAAUUCAGUAUUAUCAUUGUUACCUUAUGAUUCUGCAUGUGAAAUCGUAGCGAGUAUUACCUUUAGAUGGAUGAAGUUAUAAGAGCGGGGAUGAUAACCGGUAACGAUAAGAAUUUUAAUUUACUUCUGAUAUCAGAUGGCGAGUCGUAAACUCGAUUUUUCCAUGUUUGUAACCUUGGCUUGAGAUAUUAUUAUAAUUAAACUUAAUAGCGAUACUUUCUCACGCUUAUCUCAUCUGGCAAUUUUUGUUCUACGGACACGUUUAGUAACAAUUUUUCAUUGGGUCUCUGGCACUUCAGAUUAUUACUUUUCUUAAGUUAGUAGCGCAGUUGGUAUCCUUGCUUGUAGAUUUAACGUAACGCGAGUUUAAAUUUAAUUUCGUCGUUCCGUGAGGAUUCAUGUAUAAUGCAGAGCUAAUAAUGUAUUUUAAUAUUCAACAGUUGCGAUAAAGGGGAAUUAAAGGAAUUCAAAUCAAGAGGUUCUCAUAAGAAUCGAACCAUAUACGCACCAGUUGUAUUCGAUACGCUGAGAAGGAGAGGAAAUCACAAGAGAAACAAGUACACGAUAUCAUCCUAAGUCUUCGAGCUGUAUCCAUAGGCUGGCACUAGCAGUAUAGCAGCUUAGCAGAAAAUCGAGUGUAAAAUCGGCGUGUAACUCGUUCAAGUAGUAAAA